UACCUGGUUGAUNCUUGCAA
rnacentral:rRNA from 1 species